AGAGCGAACGCUGGCGGCAGGCUUAACACAUGCAAGUCGAGCGCCCCGCAAGGGGAGCGGCAGACGGGAGAGUAACACGUGGGAACGUACCUUUCGGUUCGGAACAACCCAGGGAAACUUGGGCUAAUACCGGAUACGCCCGCAAGGGGAAAGAUUUAUCGCCGGAAGAUCGGCCCGCGUCUGAUUAGCUAGUUGGUGAGGUAACGGCUCACCAAGGCGACGAUCAGUAGCUGGUCUGAGAGGAUGAUCAGCCUCACUGGGACUGAGACACGGCCCAGACUCCUACGGGAGGCAGCAGUGGGGAAUAUUGGACAAUGGGCGCAAGCCUGAUCCAGCCAUGCCGCGUGGGUGAUGAAGGCCCUAGGGUUGUAAAGCCCGUUUCGGCGGGGAAGAUAAUGACGGUACCCGCAGAAGAAGCCCCGGCUAACUCGUGCCAGCAGCCGC
rnacentral:rRNA from 1 species